CUCUCAGAAGCAUCACCACCAGACUUCAAUAUUUAUUCAUUUCCUUUCUUCCAUACUUUUACUUUCCUUUUCUCCUUCACGUUUUUCUUCCCCUGGCAGCAACAAACCGACGCCCACCACCUUCUUUUCCUCUUUCUUUCUCAUUUUCUUUCUUCUUCUACAUAUCACAUUUUUCUUCUUCUUCUUUUCCACUUCUUUUAUUCUUCUUUUUCUUCUUUCUUCAUGAAACAAUAACCACCAUGCUAAUUUCUUCUCCUCACAUUCCAGCACCCAAAACGCACAUAAUGGUCCCUCUUCCCUCCCUCACGUGAUUUCUCUCUUGUGCAGCACCAUGUCUUCAUCUUCCUAUUCUAUGGGUACGAAGGACGGAAGCGCUUGACGACGAAGCCAAAGAACAAACGGAAGUGAGCCAACACGGGAAAGCAAAGAUAUGAUUGGAUUUGAUUUGAGUCGCAACUUAGUAAGGAAAGCGCCUAAGAUGUUGACGGUGGAUUGGGUUUCGAUGGUCUCUCCCUCGGGGGGGAUCAGGUUUGAGCUGGUUGAUCGACAUGCCCCCACCGCUUGGGUGAUCGAUCUUGUGGGUCAUCAGGCGACGCACCGGGGAAGGGUCAUGGAGGACCGGACUGACGAGCGUGGACGUCUUACGAAAGGAGUUCUGCGACGCAUGGAGCUGAGCUUCAACUUGCCGACUUCAGUUCGCUGUGGACUCGGUACCGGGAGGGUAGGUUUAGGCAUGCGUCAUAUUUUGUGUAGAGCUCUGAUUCGUUUUGCUUUGGGAUAGGGUAGGUUCCCGACGCAUGACUUUUUGUGUGGCUCUCUUACUGAGGGAUCACAGUGAGUCAGUCGGACCAUAGGGGUCUUUGCUUAGGCCAUCUUGAGGCCGACUUUCUCCCAGUGGGUUGUAAUUAUAAACUUUCUUACUCACACUUCUGGGUAUGUAAAUAUUUGCCUACGGGCACAUUACUUUGGGGUCACUGCGAGUGCGCGUGACGUGGAAGUGCAGCUGAGGCUGUACAUGUUU